rnacentral:lncRNA from 1 species
AUGGAGCAGUCAGAGCUGUCAGUCUGCAUGAAGCAGCCAGAGCUGUCACUCUGCAAGGAGCUGCCAGGCUGCAGGGAGCUGCCAGUCUGCAAGGAGCUGCCAGUCUGCAAGGAGCUGCCAGUCUGCAAGGAGCUGCCAGUCUGCAAGGAGCUGUCAGUCUGCAAGGAACUGUCAGCCUGCAUGGAGCAGUCAGAGCUGUCAGUCUGCAAGGAGCUGUCAGCCUGCAUGGAGCUGUCAGUCUGCAAGGAGCUGCCAGUCUGCAGGGAGCUGUCAGUCUGCAAGGAGCUGUCAGUCUGCAAGGAGCUGCCAGUCUGCAGGGUGCUGUCAGCCUGCAUGGAGCAGUCAGAGCUGUCAGUCUGCAUGAAGCAGCCAGAGCUGCCAGUCUGCAAGGAGCUGUCAGCCUGCAUGGAGCAGUCAGAGCUGUCAGUCUGCAUAGAGCAGCUAGAUCCGCCAGUCAGCCAUGAUCUUCUAGAUCUGCCAGUCAACCAGAUUCUUCCAGAUCAGCCUGUCAACCAGAAUCUUCCAGAUCUGCUAGUCAACCAGAAUCUUCCAGAUCUGCUAGUCAACCUCAAUCUUCCAGAUACGCCAGCCAGCCAGGAUCUACCGGAGCCUACUACCUACCUGAGCUUCAUCUCAGUACUGGGCUUCCUCUCAGUACUGGGCUUCCCCUCAGUUCCGGGCUGCCCCUCAGUUCCGGGCUGCCCCUCAGUCCCGAGCUGCCCCUCAGUCCCGAGCUGCCCCUCAGUCCCGAGCUGCCUCAGUCCCGAGUUGCCCCUCAGUCCCGAGUUGCCCCUCAGUCCCGAGCUGUCCCUCAGUCACGAGCUGCUCCUCAGUUCUGUGGGGUUCUGGGUGAGGACUAUUAGGCCAUGGUCGGCGGCGAGGGUGGAUUAUCCCAGGACGCGAAGGGGAGGAACUAUGACAUUUAUGGAGUGGGGUCCAUGUCCCGAGCCGGAGCCGCCACCAUGGACAGACGCCCACCCGGACCCUCCCUAUGGUUUUGAGGUGCGUCCGGGAGUCCGCACCUUGGGGGGGGGGGGGGGGUUCUGUCACGCCUUGGUCAUUGUAUUUUGUGUUUUCGUUAUAUAUUUAGUCAGGCCAGGGUGUGACAGGGGUUUGUUAUUGUAUUUCGUAUUGGGGUUUGUAGUAUUUGAGAUCGCGGCUGAUUAG